AUAUACAUACAGUCAAGCGACACCCGGCUAGUAACACUGACUAAAAAUAUAACAGCUACUGUUUUUUAAUCAUCCAUUAUUUGUGAAACAAUGUAUGGCUGUUUUCGUUAUACUGCGACUGAUUGAUUGUCGAUAACGAUCGCAUGUCGUUUGGGGCCAGCCAAACAUUGUGUGUUUCUGUUUGAUCGCUCGACAAGCCGUGCCGAUCCUAAACUUGACUGCUUCAAAAGUUGUACUGUUAAUGUAUAACAUUGUGUACCUACCAAUAUUGAACGACAGACACGCGGUGAUAACGAGUGGAAAUAAUAGUCAUGACGAUUGCCCAGCCGAGUCAGAGAUCCAAGUCCGUCACGCGGAAGGUACGAGGUCUCGUGGAUUAAUUGAAUUCGCGUGCAGACUUACCUAUGAGAAACGAAGGCUCCCUUUCGUCUUCAACCAAAGAGGCAAGAAUCAGCAUCAGCGGGUGGUUGUGGGCCACUCGGUCCAGAUCUUCGGUGGAGUCGUCGUAGACCACCACUUCCCGGUAACCGCGUCUCCGCAGGGCUUCCUUGGCAUCCCUUGACGACGCCAACUCCACCAGCGUGGCUUUGCCGCUCUGCAGGCGCCUCCGGUUGAUCCGGUCAGCCACGUUGACGUUGACGGCCCCUCUGAUGUGACCAGUGUUGUAACACACAAACGACCGACAGUCCACGGUCAACACGGCCGGCCCGUGGAGUUCCAGCUUUUGCCUCAGUGUAUCCGCGUCGAUUCUCUUGACCUGGAAAUGAGAUAUUUUUUUAAACAACUACUAGAGAUAUGGCACGACCAACUGAAUGUCCGGAUCUGUAAACACAAUUGUGGCUACGUGUACUCGAAAAAAGGUGCGAAAACCCCCUUUGAACGUGUCCCAUAUAAGGACAGAAUAUAACGUGGGACGCUGAAUAAAGUAAAUAUAAGCCCAGGCGAGGUACGGUUUACUUAGUGAUUACAGACCAUAUUAUACAAGUAGUAAUGGUUGUUUUUUUUAAGCCUAACAAAAUCUGUAUCGUUUUGUGUGCCGACAAUAUUUUCUCUGUCAUAUACAUUUGCGAAAAUUCUGUACUAUGUAUAGAGAUAAUAAUACAGUGAUAGUAGUUCACGACUUCUGUACACAUAAUAUAUUUUUAACUAUU